rnacentral:rRNA from 1 species
GACGUAGGGCGCGAGCGUUGUCCGGAUUUAUUGGGCGUAAAGAGCUCGUAGGCGGCUUGUCGCGUCGUCCGUGAAAACCCACAGCUCAACUGUGGGCUUGCGGUCGAUACGGGCAGGCUAGAGUUCGGUAGGGGAGACUGGAAUUCCUGGUGUAGCGGUGAAAUGCGCAGAUAUCAGGAGGAACACCGGUGGCGAAGGCGACAUCCUGGACCGGUAUUGACGCUGAGGCGCGAAAGCCAGGGGAGCAAACGGG